UACAGGGGGUGCAAACGUUGCUCGGAAUCAUUGGGCGUAAAGCGCACGUAGGCGGUUCGUUAUGUCGGAUGUGAAAGCCCUUGGCUUAACCGAGGAAGUGCAUCCGAAACUGGCGAGCUAGAGUACGAAAGAGGAUCGCGGAAUUCCCGGUGUAGAGGUGAAAUUCGUAGAUAUCGGGAGGAACACCGGUGGCGAAGGCGGCUAUCUGGCCUAAUAUUGACGCUGAGAUGCGAAAGUGCGGGGAUCAAACAGGG
rnacentral:rRNA from 1 species